GCCCUUUUCUUUUGCUUUUCUUUUGAAAUUACUGAGUCAAAAACUUGAUCGUUGCAGUCUUAUUUGUUGUACUGUGUUCGUAUUUACUCAAACCUCAUUGGUUGAAGGUGAAUGGGUCGGAUCGAGUUUAACAAGGCUCAGAUCUGACCAUUCGUUGUUGUUGAAUCAAUUUAAGCCGUAGAUGUCGUUUGCAAAGGUUAAAUUCUAGGCAAAUUGUUUGUCCCACAUCAUUGAUUUUUUACUCCUUUGUAUGAACUUUGGGUUCUAUAAAUAGAAACCCAACCCUCACAAUUGAAACAGGGUCUUGAACCCUCAAGCAAAGCAAAAGCUUAAAAUUUAAGUUCAUUCGAAUUUAAAGCUGUGUUUUAGUAAAAUUUUAUUCUUAACUUCAAAGAGUUAGGUUUUCUAGUUCAAAAUUUUGAUUUUAUCUGUUCUUGUGUGUGGCUGAGUCGAGGAAAGGAAGCACUCAGGCUUUCAAGUUUGUUCUUGUACACGGCUGCACAUAAAAAAGGGUCCCUCUUCCUUUUCCUCUCCCCACUGCAUGUCCACUCGAGCCGAGUCAAAACCCACCGGUUGGGUCAAGGCCCAACAGGCAAUUCUUUCGCAAUAUGAUCGAGUCCAACGAAGAAAGGGAAGCUAAUAUUAUAAAUAUAAACAGAAGGCCCAGCCAUAGGUGAAAAUGGCCAACUAGGGGCUUGGUACGCCCUUAGCCUACCCCUUCUCUUUAUUUAUUCUGCAUUUUAUCAUCCUUAAGUUUGUUGUAUUUGUAUUUACAUUACUUGUAAAAAACUCAUAUAUGUUAUCGGAAUCCUUAUUGUUUGAA